UACGUAGGGGGCAAGCGUUGUCCGGAAUGAUUGGGCGUAAAGGGCGCGUAGGCGGCCUGUUAAGUCUGGAGUGAAAGUCCUGCUUUUAAGGUGGGAAUUGCUUUGGAAACUGGCGGGCUGGAGUGCAGGAGAGGUUAGUGGAAUUCCCGGUGUAGCGGUGAAAUGCGUAGAGAUCGGGAGGAACACCAGUGGCGAAGGCGACUAACUGGACUGUAACUGACGCUGAAGCGCGAAAGUGUGGGGAGCAAAC
rnacentral:rRNA from 1 species